GUUGAGACAUUCACAAUACACACAGGACCACCAGGCAAUUUCAGAAGGCUUUAAGCAUCUGCCCAUACAGAGUAACAUCAAAUCACUUUGGAAGGCUUCAACAUUUGUGGAGCAAAGCUGCAUAAAUGCAGAAGGAUGCAUACUGCCUCACACCUUUCUUCAGAUUCCAGCAAAUUAAGCACAGCAGCACAAACAGCAGCAGGGAGAAGGAAAUGCUCUGCAAAAGAGCUUCCCUGUUUGCUGCUGCACUACAGCCUUGGCUGCUCAUGGAGAUUUGAACAGGGAGAGAUCCCUUGGUGCCAUCCUCCCUCCUCCAGGCACAGCUAAAGCCAGUUUGAAAAGGUUGCUGUGGCUGUCCCUGGUCCACUUGGGGCUAGGCUUCACAAAGCCAUUGCCAGUUUGGUCUGGUAACUGUCUCUGCACCCCACUGAGAAGGCAGUGCCACUGUCAGAUACUGGAGCACUAGCUUAAGUGGCACUACAGACAAAUUUUGGCUGGUGACAGAAGAGAUGGCUGAAAGCCAGCUGACAGGGAAGAACAGUAUCAAUCUCUGUACUGGGGGAAUCCUCUGAAAAUGCUACUGAAGCAAACAGCAACUGCUAGUGGCACAGAGGCAAACACGAUACGAGUGAUCCUGCUCUCAUGGAGAAGAGAAAAAGGCAAACGGCUGAACUGAAGUAAUCAACAUGAACUUGAACCAUGGCACAGGGCAAACAUGUGGCACGCCGUAUGGAAACUCAGAACAAAACAGAAAGCUUGGAACAAAAUGAAAUUAAAAAUCUGCUUCUAUUUCAAAUUA